GACGGAGGGUGCUAGCGUUGUUCGGAAUCACUGGGCGUAAAGCGCACGCAGGCGGAUUGAUAAGUCAGGGGUGAAAUCCCGGGGCUCAACCUCGGAAUUGCCUUUGAUACUGUCUGUCUUGAGUUCGGGAGAGGUUGGCGGAAUUCCUAGUGUAGAGGUGAAAUUCGUAGAUAUUAGGAAGAACACCAGUGGCGAAGGCGGCCAACUGGCCCGAUACUGACGCUCAUGUGCGAAAGCGUGGGGAGCAAACAGG
rnacentral:rRNA from 1 species